rnacentral:rRNA from 1 species
UUGACCUCGGAUCAGGUAGGGAUACCCGCUGAACUUAAGCAUAUCAAUAAGCGGAGGAAAAGAAACCAACAGGGAUUGCCUCAGUAACGGCGAGUGAAGCGGCAAGAGCUCAAAUUUGAAAGCUGGCCCCCUCGGGGUCCGCGUUGUAAUUUGCAGAGGAUGCUUCGGGUGCAGCCCCCGUCUAAGUGCCCUGGAACGGGCCGU